rnacentral:rRNA from 1 species
UACGGAGGGCGCGAGCGUUAUCCGGAUUUAUUGGGUUUAAAGGGUGCGUAGGCGGACGCUUAAGUCAGCGGUAAAAUUGCGGGGCUCAACCUCGUCGAGCCGUUGAAACUGGGUGCCUUGAGUGGGCGAGAAGUACGCGGAAUGCGUGGUGUAGCGGUGAAAUGCAUAGAUAUCACGCAGAACUCCGAUUGCGAAGGCAGCGUACCGGCGCCCUACUGACGCUGAAGCACGAAGGCGUGGGUAUCGAACAGG